CCCUAGACAACCUUGCUUUAUAUACAAAAUUUAACUAUCCAUUCAACCUUUAAAAGCUUAUUAAUAUUAUAUCUGUGUGGUACACAAAGAGGGGGGUGUGAGUUAGGUAAUCCCAUCCUGCAUAUGGAAUAAAGGCAGAGGUAGAGGAUUUGGUCAAAGGGUCUAACUUUUGUAGAGGUAACAACUUCAGCAUUGGUGGAACACACUGUUCUAAUUGUGGAUAGCAGGGUCACUGGAAAAAUGAGUGCCCAAACCCACCCCCACAGAUUCCUCAAUACCAACCAUAGCUUCCAACCUAUACCCACACCCAACAACCCCAGCCUAAUACACAGGUGGUUCAGGUUUGGAAUAUUUUAUAUAGUUUUAGGUGUUAAUCCAAGAGUAUUGAAUUUUUCGGGAUUAUUAAAGUAAUUAAUUUUGAAUAUCAAAUCAAGGUUCCAGUUUAGGAACAGAGUUUUAUUGGGAAUUAUCCCCAUAUGUAUAUGUUAGUGUUUUAAUAUUCAUCCUAACAAGGAUUUCUAUAGAGUGAGUG
rnacentral:lncRNA from 1 species